GUGGCCUCGCGCUUGGCAGCUGGGAUGCGCAGGGCACAGCGGCGGCAUCAGGAGAACAAAGCAGUCCACGUCCUGGUGAGCUGCAGCUCCUCGGGCUCUUCCAGGCGGGAGAAGCGGCCUCUGCGGAGCAGGAGAGGGCGCCGAGUAUGGCAGACAUGUGAGAGGCCUGUGCCGGCAAGGGGAGUCCCAAGGCCUGACCAGAGCAAAAGAUCCCAGUCACCAGAGGGGUGGUGAGCCCCACUCCCUCUGCCACAGGGCUGCAGGGCUGAGCAGCCGUCCGUCCUCCGGGGAGGCCGGGUGCAGAGAGCACAGAUUCGGAAGUAGGUCAUUUAAUUCUCUGAGCCUGAUGCCUUUAUUUCUUAAUACAGAUGACGUCCCCUGCUAUCUCAGAAAUCGUAGAGGAGGUUGGAUUUUUUUUGACCGUGCAGAGAUUUUAAUAAUUUAUGAGAAAAGCUGUAAUUGUUCCAUGACCUUGAAAAGCUUUCUCCAAAUAUUAAAAACACUUUUAUCAUCAUUUGUAAAUGUAUAGGGAAGUUUAAAACAUAACAAAAUGACUAAUGUACUGUAAUUUCAAACAAAUACUGAGCAUCACAGUACAGUACUUUGUCGUUUUUCUAUUUUAAAGAGAUUAAAAGAGAACAAAAUAAAAACAGCAGAAAGGAUAUAGGAAAUUAACAGUAGUCACUAUGCAGUACAGAAGUUUGGAAUUCCCACCAGGGAAAGUGCUCUUGGCAGCAGCCGGGUGAGAAGUAGCAAUUGGGGGUUCCUCGCUUCCCGGGGGAAGAAGAGGCUUUCCGUGUGCAGGCGCACUGAGUCCCACACAGUUCUUCCUCCUGAGACUGCAUCACUGCGGUCUUAGCUGCGCCCAUGAGGAGACCAUGGCUCUGAGAAGCCAGCCUGGCUCUUGCGCUGGUGGAAAGGCCCUGUUAGGGGUGGGACACUCUGGUGAGGAAGGAGCCUCUUACAGUGGGGCUCCUGAGAGCUUAGCUUCGCGCCUUUGUGCCUGGUAUGUCUGCUUCUGUUGACUUUUUCAAAUCGUUUUUCUCCUGAGAUGGACAGAACUUCCAUGAGAGGAGGCAGCAACCAUGUCUACCUCCGUGGAGAAUUCUAUGACUCUCACCAGUUGGAGGCUGAGCGAGCCGGUGCAGCCCCAGGCUGUGUUGUGCCGCAGGUGAGCGUCCCUGCAGGCCCCUGCAGACAUCAGAGUCCUCUGGGCAGUGUUGUCCUUUGCCACACGAAGGCCACAGUCUCUUCCUAACCACACUGCCCAAGCAGAGAUGUAGGAGAACACAAAGCUGGAAAAUGCUUCCUUUACACCUAAUGUUGGGACUUUAAAAAAAAACUGAUUUCUUUUGUGAUUUCUCCCCCAGGGAAGCAAUUUCAAGACUUAGGUUUCUGGGAGGCGCAUUCCGAGAGGCCGUGCAGCCCAGCCUGACUUCCUGACCUGCGUGCUUGUGGCAGUGCGCAGGCGCUUUGGGCGCAGCCGCGUGGAGCUCUGCGACGCAUGGGAAGGACCUCGAUGGUGCUUUCUCUGCAGGACUUGUACAGGAGGGGAAAGGGAAGGGUAUUUCCUGGAAACUUCUCGAGAAUGACACUUGCAGCAAUAGUCCAGAUCUUCUGCCUAGCUGGCCGAUGUGAUAGGAACUUCCUGUCCUUCCGCUUGCCACUAGUUGCAGAGUAGAGGAGACAAGGACCUCCUAUUGCUUCAAGUUUCAUUCCCGCCUUAAAUGGCUGAGACUGCUGGCUUCCUUGCUUCCUCCUUGAAGGGGUGAUUUUCAGAUCUCAGAGGUCGCAAGAGGGACAUUGGCCACACUAGGAAUCUGGAUCCUGGGGACAGAUGGCUAAAGUAAAGCCCUCUUCGCACCCCCAAAUAUCCUGAUGGAUUGUGUGUCCAAGGCCCUAGGGACCCACCAGCCCCCUGUAAUAAUUUUCCUGGUCUCUGCUGUCUGGUGGAAUUGUAAUCUAGGACUUGUAACCCGACAGUCGUCACGCUGCCCUGUGGGAGAGCUGGGGCAGAAGCCAGCUUCCCUUUCGGACAGAAGCAGACAACUGUGAGGUCUCCAGGGAGGGAAGCUCUAGGUUCAGGGAGCGUCAGUCUCCCCCCAGGCAUGCUUCUAGAGGUUGGUGUUUUUGACUGUCCUCCGUGGCAGGUUACAGACCUUCCUGUUUUUUCCAACCACUUCCUUUCUGUGGUCCUAAGAUGAACGGUGCCCUUGGUUGUGUCCUCAGGGUCUGUUAGCAGGGGACCCAGGACACUGCCACUGUAUGGCAGAGCUCAGGCACAAGCCACGCACGGGCUUUUGAAAAGCAGCUCAGUAGAGGUGUAAUUGGCCUCCAGCAAACUGCACACGGAGUGUGCAAGUACCUUCUGCUAUUGUCACGCCCUGCCAGCCGCCAGCUUGCCUGUCCCCAGGAAACGGCCUUGUGGCGAAGGGUCUCUUCGCUUUCCGCUUUCACUACCUAACACACUGGAUCCAAAGCAGACGAAAGUCAAAAAGCACCCCAGCCAAGGAACUGGGGUGGUGUGACCUUGACUGUCACACAGUUAUUGAGUGACUUUCCUUCUGAACCUAGAUGUGAAAAUCCUCCUCCAAUGGCUGAUUCAGCAAUUACGCAAAAGACAAAUGAAAAUGUAUGACCACCCCAUAGACUGUGGUUCUCCGCAGUGUUACAUUUUUUCUCUAAACCUUUGUCUAGGUUUCCUUCCAACUUACCUGUAACUGUAAAUUGGUUGAUUUUUCUCAUUUCCUCCUGGCAUUGCAAGCAGGCUGUUUGCUCCUGACCUCCUGCCAGAAGAUGUGCUCUGGGUAAAGAAAAGGUGCUAGUCGGGAGACGUGCUGCAUUUCAAAGCAAAAGUGGCCUUCACUUGCCAUUUUCCCAGCCCUUAGAAUGGGCUCAGAGCCCUAGCAUGGGGAAACCAAGUGUGGCUCACCCCGGGCAAAGCUGAUCAGAAAGACAAAGCCAAGCCUGGAGGAGGAGGACUGACACUCGGGUGCUCUUAUGGGGUGCUCUUAUCGGGUGCUCUUAUCUGCUUCGUAUCCUCCACACAGCUGUCCCAAACCUCACAGUGGGUGAGGAUUAGGAAUGAAACUUGAUUUCAUGUAGAAGACCCAUUUGUCAAGUACUUGUCACUUGGGUGCCAGCCUAGCACCAGGAUUGGAUGUUGAAGUUAAAAUGGUGAAUUAAAGUAGAUAAGCCAAGAGGCG
rnacentral:lncRNA from 1 species